CCUAAGUGCAGCCAUGAUUUUCCGUGCCCAACUUCGAUCGUCCGUCUUAUUUGAAAAAAAAUUUAAAACUGAAGUGAGGCAUAAAGUACUACUCCCUCCGUUUCAUUCUAUAAGACUUUCUAACAUCGCCCAUAUUCAUAUAGAUGUUAAUGAAUCUAGACACAUAUGUUUAGAUUCAUUAACAUAUGAAACGGGUGAAGUAUUCAUGUUAUCAUCUAAUAACAAUAAAAAUACUAAUCAUAAAAAAUUUUCAAAUAAGACAUAAGAUCAAAGUUGGGCACGGAAACUUAUGGUUGCACUUAUA
rfam:Oryza glaberrima chromosome 12 Oglab12_0205_15, whole genome shotgun sequence.